rnacentral:rRNA from 2 species
CCUACGGGAGAAAGCAGGGGACCUUCGGGCCUUGCGCUAUCAGAUGAGCCUAGGUCGGAUUAGCUAGUUGGUGAGGUAAUGGCUCACCAAGGCUGCGAUCCGUAACUGGUCUGAGAGGAUGAUCAGUCACACUGGAACUGAGACACGGUCCAGACUCCUACGGGAGGCAGCAGUGGGGAAUAUUGGACAAUGGGCGAAAGCCUGAUCCAGCCAUGCCGCGUGUGUGAAGAAGGUCUUCGGAUUGUAAAGCACUUUAAGUUGGGAGGAAGGGCAGUAAGUUAAUACCUUGCUGUUUUGACGUUACCGACAGAAUAAGCACCGGCUAACUUCGUGCCAGCAGCCGCGGUAAUACGAAGGGUGCAAGCGUUAAUCGGAAUUACUGGGCGUAAAGCGCGCGUAGGUGGUUUGUUAAGUUGGAAGUGAAAGCCCCGGGCUCAACCUGGGAACUGCUUUCAAAACUGGCAAGCUAGAGUAUGGCA